AUUGAACGCUGGCGGCAUGCUUUACACAUGCAAGUCGAACGGCAGCGCGGGCUUCGGCCUGGCGGCGAGUGGCGAACGGGUGAGUAAUGCAUCGGAACGUGCCCAGUAGUGGGGGAUAGCCCGGCGAAAGCCGGAUUAAUACCGCAUACGACCUGAGGGUGAAAGCGGGGGACCGUCAGACCUCGCGCUAUUGGAGCGGCCGAUGUCGGAUUAGCUAGUUGGUGGGGUAAAGGCUUACCAAGGCGACGAUCCGUAGCUGGUCUGAGAGGACGACCAGCCACACUGGGACUGAGACACGGCCCAGACUCCUACGGGAGGCAGCAGUGGGGAAUUUUGGACAAUGGGGGCAACCCUGAUCCAGCCAUGCCGCGUGCGGGAAGAAGGCCUUCGGGUUGUAAACCGCUUUUGUUCGGGAAGAAAACCUCUGGGCUAAUACCCCGGUGGGAUGACGGUACCGGAAGAAUAAGCACCGGCUAACUACGUG
rnacentral:rRNA from 1 species